rnacentral:lncRNA from 1 species
AUUAUGGGAUCCAGUGAACAAGAAGAUUAUUAGAAGCAGAGAUGUUGUGUUUCUUGAAAACCAAUUGUUUGAUGAUGGUGAUAAUGUUGAGAAGCCAGAAACCUCUGUUUAUAUUCUUUGGAGUUUGGGUCCAAUUCCUUCACCUGUAGUUCAUGAUGAUCAUGGGGGAGAUGAACAAGAAGAUUGUGGUGAGAAUACUAGUGAUGAUACACCUACAGUUGAUGAUGCUGAACCAACUGAACAGGCACCUCCACUAGAGAGCGACAACCCUCUACCAGAUAUCCUCCACAUGAGUAUGUUAUGCUUACUGACGGGGGAGAGCCAGAAACUUACCAAGAAGCUAUUCUACAU